rnacentral:rRNA from 1 species
AUUAACGCUGCUGGAGGCCUAAACAUGCAAGUCGAGCGGUAGAGAGAAGCUUGCUUCUCUUGAGAGCGGCGGACGGGUGAGUAAUGCCUAGGAAUCUGCCUGGUAGUGGGGGAUAACGUUCGGAAACGGACGCUAAUACCGCAUACGUCCUACGGGAGAAAGCAGGGGACCUUCGGGCCUUGCGCUAUCAGAUGAGCCUAGGUCGGAUUAGCUAGUUGGUGAGGUAAUGGCUCACCAAGGCGACGAUCCGUAACUGGUCUGAGAGGAUGAUCAGUCACACUGGAACUGAGACACGGUCCAGACUCCUACGGGAGGCAGCAGUGGGGAAUAUUGGACAAUGGGCGAAAGCCUGAUCCAGCCAUGCCGCGUGUGUGAAGAAGGUCUUCGGAUUGUAAAGCACUUUAAGUUGGGAGGAAGGGUUGUAGAUUAAUACUCUGCAAUUUUGACGUUCCCGACAGAAUAAGCACCGGCUAACUCUGUGCCAGCAGCCGCGGUAAUACAGAGGGUGCAAGCGUUCAUCGGAAUUACUGGGCGUAAAGCGCGCGUAGGUGGUUUGUUAAGUUGGAUGUGAAAUCCCCGGGCUCAACCUGGGAACUGCAUUCAAAACUGACUGACUAGAGUAUGGUAGAGGGUGGUGGAAUUUCCUGUGUAGCGGUGAAAUGCGUAGAUAUAGGAAGGAACACCAGUGGCGAAGGCGACCACCUGGACUAAUACUGACACUGAG